GAAGAUGUUAUCCUGUUUCUCUCUGAAGUACAACUUGAAGCUUGUAGAGCCUUCAAGCAGCUCUUGAAUUGUUCAGGAUUGUUUCAGGUCCUGGAAUGACCUAUUUCUCCUACAUCUUCGAAGGCCUCGAUUGUGAUUCAUCUCCCAUCUCACAAACAUUACCGGUCCGCUGAGAGAGAACUGACCAUUCGCAUUGUGUUUCUCAUACAACAUCAUCUGGAUUUCUGCAAUCAACUUCCUGAUUUGUCUUCAGUGGCCCUGGAGAGAUUCUGUCUAGGAAGAUUAUGCGUUUUUUCCCCCUUGCUUAAAUUCUUAGAGUCCUCAUCACAUGCUAACUACAGAGCUUAAGAGUGGGAUAGCAUAGGGGAAAUGUGUACAAAUCUUGCUUAGUAAUUCCAAUCUAUGUGUCUUUUCCCAAACUAGAAAUGACUAAUCUAAAAGAUAACCACAGCUAACAUUGAAAGCAGGCAUAUCUUAACAACUGAACACAUAUUUAUCAUCCUGUUUUAUAAUACAUAUUUAUAACAGUGUCUUAUGGCACUAUUUUAUGUCCACACAAGAAAAUGGAAGCUGAGAAAAGAUAAAUAACUUAUAUAGGAUUACAAUAAAACGCAAUCCUAGCAGAACAAGAAGCAAAAUGGGUAUCCUGUAGAUCCCACAUCUAUACUCCUAAGCUUUGCAUUUAUUUAACUCACAAUACAGUGUUUAUUUCA
rnacentral:sRNA from 1 species